GGCCGGUUAGCUCAGUCGGUUAGAGCGUGGUGCUGAUAACACCAAGGUUGUGGGUUCGAUCCCAGUUCGGUCC
rfam:Apaloderma vittatum contig96001, whole genome shotgun sequence.